rfam:Fervidicola ferrireducens strain Y170 AN618_contig000004, whole genome shotgun sequence.
UUCGGUGGCCAUAGCGGAGGGGGAACACCGGUAUCCAUUCCGAACACACAGGUUAAGCCCUCCAGCGCCGAUGGUACUGGGGAGGAUUCCCCGGGAGAGUAGGACGCUGCCGAAA